GUUCUUUAACAUCUAAGUGGUAAAGCCACAGUAAAGGGACAAAGAUUUCAUCAGGUGGCUUCAGAAUGACCUGCGAACAUCUUUGAUAACUUUGCGAAUCCUCUCUUGCCGUGGUAACACACCACCAGGGCCUUCUGAGGGUACAGUUAUGGCCCCCCCCCCCAGACUCAGUUGCGCACAGCAGCUACAGGGGCUCCCUGGGGCUUUAAUCACAGGACUAGGUAGUCAGAAGCAGUUAAAUUGUGCUGCGGGACUCUUUUUGACAUUCCACAGAAUUCAGAGAAACUCUCCUGCGUCCACUGACGGAUGGAGGGGCCGGAAAAGUUUGGGCCUGAAUUUCCCUUCCCUAGGCCCUCCACCUCCCAAGGCUCCCACGAAGCCCUCCCCCUCUAGGGGCUCCGCAGUACCUCUGUGUCCACACCCCUCCAUCCCCAGGCCCUCCCGCCAGCUUCCCCGCGCAACCCCUCUGCUGCCCCAGUCCUAAUUCGCAGCGUCCUCGCCGCCGCAGCUGCAGCCCCCCAAGGGCUCUAGGAUCCCCCGGGAAGAAACGGGCUGAUGAAACCCAGCAAAUAUAAGAACAUUUUGAGAGGCCAAGCAUUUGUGGCAAGCAUUUGGUUGGAAGGAAAGGAGAAUUGAGGCACAUGCCAUAAAGGAAAGAGUUCCUCACUAAUUGAUCUAAAUUGUCGGCAGCAUUUGUCAACGAAAAUCCUUCCUACUACGCACUCAGGCCACUGCGAGGGCGCCUAUCCAUGACUCCCGCCACUAGGACUAGUCUAUGGAUUCAUACUUUUCUUGUCCUCUGUUCCCUAAUUUAUGAAUGAAAGAAGAAGAAUACUAAUUACUCAGUUGUCAUUUGGAAACUCGCAAAAAUAGGAUUUACCAUGAAUUUUCA
rnacentral:lncRNA from 1 species